AUUACCGCGGCUGCUGGCAUGUAGUUGGCGGGGGCUUCUUCUGCAGGUACCGUCACUUUCGCUUCGUCCCUGCUGAAAGGAGUUUACAACCCGAAAGCCGUCAUCCUCCACGCGGCGUUGCUCCGUCAGGCUUUCGCCCAUUGCGGAAUAUUCCCUACUGCUGCCUCCCGUAGG
rnacentral:rRNA from 1 species